rnacentral:rRNA from 1 species
CACGUAGGCUGUUAUGUAAGUCAGGGUGAAAUCCCACGGCUCAACCGUGGAACUGCCCUUGAUACUGCACGACUUGAAUCCGGGAGAGGGUGGCGGAAUUCCAGGUGUAGGAGUGAAAUCCGUAGAUAUCUGGAGGAACAUCAGUGGCGAAGGCGGCCACCUGGACCGGUAUUGACGCUGAGGUGCGAAAGCGUGGGGAGCAAACA